rnacentral:misc_RNA from 1 species
ACGGCCACCGCUCACCGCCGAUGAAGAUCCCAGCCGUCGUUCUUAUCUUCUCCCAGCCGCUCUUCCCUAUCCCCUCCGCGCGAUCCUCCCCUGCUCCCUGAUUUCUCCAGCCCGUGGAGCUUUUGCUAUGCGCUCCCUCCCUGCUCCGGUCUUCUCCAUAGCCGAGCGCCCGACGUUCUCCCUGGUGCUCGCCCAAGUCACCGUUGCAGCUCCAGCUCGGAUUCCCCUUCCCAUGGCGGCGCCCACCUCCCUGUGCUCCCUGUUCCAGCUCGUCGGGGAUGCCCCUUCCUCCAGCCGUGUUCUGCUUCUCUCCCUGCGCCCCUAUUCAUCUCCUGCGCGCCUUGGUUUUGGUCCCAAGCUCCAUGGCCGCCGCGCUGCAGCUCUCUGGUGCUCGGUCGCCAAGUCUCCCUGCUCUAUGCGUUCUUCUUCCUCCCUGGCUCCUGCUCGUCCAACGACGCCGUCGGCCGGACCUCUCUGCUUCUCCUGCGCCUGCGUCGUGGCUCUCCACUGCGCGUAGUGGUGCUUCAGUUCUGCUCUGUCCAUUUUCCUGUGCCGCGCCACUGCAGCUCGCCUCGGCUCCUCGCCUCAUCCAUGGCCGAGCGCCCUCUGCCCAGCCUGUCGAAGCU